rnacentral:rRNA from 1 species
GACCGGCGCACGGGUGAGUAACACGUAUGCAAUCCACCUGUAACAGGGGGAUAACCCGGAGAAAUCCGGACUAAUACCCCAUAAUAUGGGCUCUCCGCAUGGAGGGUCCAUUAAAGAGAGCAAUCUUGGUUACAGACGAGCAUGCGCUCCAUUAGCCAGUUGGCGGGGUAACGGCCCACCAAGGCGACGAUGGAUAGGGGUUCUGAGAGGAAGGUCCCCCACAUUGGAACUGAGACACGGUCCAAACUCC